rnacentral:rRNA from 1 species
ACUCCUACGGGAGGCAGCAGUGGGGAAUAUUGGACAAUGGGCGAAAGCCUGAUCCAGCCAUGCCGCGUGUGUGAAGAAGGUCUUCGGAUUGUAAAGCACUUUAAGUUGGGAGGAAGGGCAGUAAGCUAAUACCUUGCUGUUUUGACGUUACCGACAGAAUAAGCACCGGCUAACUCUGWGCCAGCAGCCGCGGUAAU